UACGUAGGGACCGAGCGUUGUCCGGAAUCAUUGGGCGUAAAGCGCACGUAGGCGGUUCGUUAUGUCGGAUGUGAAAGCCCUCGGCUUAACCGGGGAAGUGCAUCCGAAACUGGCGAGCUUGAGUACUAAAGAGGGUCGCGGAAUUCCCGGUGUAGAGGUGAAAUUCGUAGAUAUCGGGAGGAACACCAGCGGCGAAGGCGGCGACCUGGGUAGAUACUGACGCUGAGGUGCGAAAGCGUGGGGAGCAAACAGG
rnacentral:rRNA from 1 species